AACGAACGCUGGCGGCAGGCUUAACACAUGCAAGUCGAAUGCCCCGCAAGGGGAGUGGCAGACGGGUGAGUAACGCGUGGGAAUCUACCCAGUUCUACGGAACAACUGAGGGAAACUUCAGCUAAUACCGUAUACGCCCUACGGGGGAAAGAUUUAUCGGAAUUGGAUGAGCCCGCGUUGGAUUAGCUAGUUGGUGAGGUAACGGCUCACCAAGGCGACGAUCCAUAGCUGGUCUGAGAGGAUGAUCAGCCACACUGGGACUGAGACACGGCCCAGACUCCUACGGGUGGCAGCAGUGGGGAAUAUUGGACAAUGGGCGCAAGCCUGAUCCAGCCAUGCCGCGUGAGUGAUGAAGGCCUUAGGGUUGUAAAGCUCUUUCAGUGGGGACGAUAAUGACGGUACCCACAGAAGAAGCCCCGGCUAACUUCGUGCCAGCAGCCGCAGUAACAC
rnacentral:rRNA from 1 species